GUGACAUUUUUUUAAACUUAUUUCCAUCAAUUAAAUACUGUUUAAUAGGGAUUUCUUUCCUAUAUAACUUUUUAAUUAAAACUUAAGAAACAGGUUAACUGGAGAAUAAAGUUUUAAUUUAGUAAAAUUAUAAUUUCGAUUAUAAUAACGGCUAUUUAAAUGAUCCAUGAAACAAUAAGUUUAUUUUUUCAAAAAUUAAUUUAAUCGUACCGAUAACCGCAUCAGGUCUCCAAGGUGAGUAGCUUCUGGCCAUUGAGUAAUGGUAAUUUAGGGAAUUCGGCCAAUUAGAGCUGUAACUUCGGGAUAAAGCUUGGCUCUGAUGGAAAUCAGAACCGAUAGUUACAAGGAGAGCCCAACUGUUUAAUAAAAACUUAGUGUCGCGUCAUACCUUUAUAAGUAAUAAACGUGACAUGAAUCCUGCUCAGUGCUGUGUUUGUUAAACUGGAUUAAUCCAUUUAAGCGCCGGUAAAUAGCUGGGGUAACUAUGACUCUUAUCAAAGUAGCGAAAUACCUCGUCACUUAAUUAGUGACCUGCAUGAACGGAGCUAUGAGGUUCUCACUGUCCCAAAUUAUCACUCAGCGAACCAACAGUUGUGGGAACGGGCACAAAUUAUCCAGCGGGGAAAGAAGACCCUGUAGAGCUUCACUUUGGUCUAAUCUUGUAUAGUUUCGUUAGGGGUGCAGUCUAGGUGGGAGAUUUUUAAUCAAAUAUGAGAAACCACUACCCUUUCUGGAAUUAUACUUACUAAAAUUCUUUUCUAAAUUUUAGGAUCGGAUUAGAUAGAAAGUUUGGCUGGGGCGGCACACCUUCGAAAAAGCAGCGAAGGUGUCCUAAGUUAAGCUCAGUAAGGACAGAAAUCUUACGUUGAGGAUAAGGCCAAAAGCUUAAUUUACUGUGCCUUUUUGUACUAGGAUCAGUUUGGAAACAAAGGCCUAACGAUCCCUAAUUAGUCUUAGGUGUGUAAGACUUGGGGUGACAGACAAGUUACCUCCGGGACAACUGGCUUGUGGCUGCUAAGAGAUCAAAUCAACGCAGCUUUUUGAUUCUUCGAUGUCGGCUCUUCCUAUCCUAGUGAUGUACAAGUCACUAAGGGUUGGAUUGUUCACCCGUAUUAGGGAUCGUGAGCUGGGUUUAGACCGUCGUGAGCCAGGUUUGUUUUAUCCUACUGGAUAUAAUUU
rnacentral:rRNA from 1 species